CGCUCCCCAGCUGGAGCUCUUGCUGGCGUCUCCCCGCGAGCAGCUGCUGAAGUGCUGGGGACUAAGGGCACGUCAGCAGCCGCCACUCCUUCGGCGUUGGCUCUGGCGCCGGGGUCGUUGUUUCGUGACAACCACUCAGGUAGCCGUUUCUGAGACAGCAGAUGCGGCCGCUUUAGCCCUGAGCGGGCUCCCCGGCUCCCUGAAGGGUCUCUGCCAGUGCCCAACUCUUUUCUUCCGGACUCCAAGCCAGGCAGCGACCCUGAGCCAACAGCAGGAGCGCCCGAAAAUGGCGGCCUGGACUGCCUCGCACUGGCCAGUCAAGGGGGUCCUGAAAAACAAGACCUCUACAGCUUCCUCUAUGGUGGCCUCAGCUGAACAGCCCAGUGGGAGUGUCGAGGAGGAGCUGAGCAAAAAAUCCCAAAAGUGGGAAGAAAUGAACAUUCUGGCGACAUACCAUCCAGCAGACAAAGACUAUGGUUUAAUGGAAAUAGAUGAACCAAGCGCUCCUUACUGUCGUAAGAUGGGUGAUGGUGAAGGUGCGUGUAGUGAUACAGAAACCACUGAAGCCGUAGCACCAGAUACCUUAGCUAAGAAAUUAGCUGCUGCUGAAGGCUUGAACCCAAAGUAUCGGGUUCAGGAACAAGAAAGCAGUGGAGAGGAGGCUAGUGACCUCUCACCUGAAGAACGAGAAAAAAGGCAACAAUUUGAAAUGAAAAGGAAGCUUCACUACAGUGAAGGACUCAAUAUCAAACUAGCUAGAGAAUUAAUUUGA